rfam:Azoarcus aromaticum EbN1 complete genome
CUUGCUGAGGAGCGCUGCGACCCGCGACGGGCUGUGACUGCCGGGGCCAGGCUCAGCAACCGAACAACGGCGCUCGCAAACC